rnacentral:rRNA from 1 species
AAACUUAAAUGAAUUGACGAGGACCCGCACAAGCGGUGGAUGAUGUGGUUUAAUUCGAUGCAACGCGAAAAACCUUACCCACCUUUGACAUGUACGGAACCCUUUAGAGAUAGAGGGGUGCUCGAAAGAGAGCCGUAACACAGGUGCUGCAUGGCUGUCGUCAGCUCGUGUCGUGAGAUGUUGGGUUAAGUCCCGCAACGAGCGCAACCCUUGUCAUUAGUUGCUACAUUCAGUUGGGCACUCUAAUGAGACUGCCGGUGACAAGCCGGAGGAAGGUGGGGAUGACGUCAAGUCCUCAUGGCCCUUAUAGGUGGGGCUACACACGUCAUACAAUGGCUGGUACAAAGGGUUGCCAACCCGCGAGGGGGAGCCAAUCCCAUAAAGCCAGUCGUAGUCCGGAUCGUAGUCUGCAACUCGACUACGUGAAGUCGGAAUCGCUAGUAAUCGUGGAUCAGAAUGUCACGGUGAAUACGUUCCCGGGUCUU